rnacentral:tRNA from 1 species
UAUUUUUAUAGUUUAAUAAAAACAUUACAUUUUCAUUGUAAAAUUAGAUUUAAUCUUAAAAAUAC